rnacentral:rRNA from 1 species
AUUGAACGCUGGCGGCGUGCUUUACACAUGCAAGUCGAGCGGCAGCAUAUCCUUGUGGAUGAUGGCGAGCGGCGAACGGGUGAGUAAUACAUCGGAACGUGCCUAAUAGUGGGGGAUAACGCAUCGAAAGAUGUGCUAAUACCGCAUAAGCUCUGAGGAGGAAAGGCGGGGACCAUUUAUGGCCUGUCACUAAUAGAGCGGCCGAUGGCCGAUUAGCUAGUUGGUGGGGUAAAGGCUUACCAAGGCGAUGAUCGGUAGCUGUUCUGAGAGGAAGAUCAGCCACACUGGGACUGAGACACGGCCCAGACUCCUACGGGAGGCAGCAGUGGGGAAUUUUGGACAAUGGGGGGAACCCUGAUCCAGCAACGCCGCGUGAAUGAAGAAGGCCUUCGGGUUGUAAAGUUCUUUUGUCGCAGAGCAAAGCUUAGGUGCUAAUAUCAUUUAAGGCUGAGAGUAUGCGAAGAAUAAGCACCGGCUAACUACGUGCCAGCCGCCGCAGUAA